UGUUCCGACGAUAGCCUAUAUCUAUAUAUAGUGCGUCACUGCCAUAAUCGUCUACUCCACAGAGGAAAACCCAGGAAACUGUGCGUAAAUUUAUACAAACGAUCUCGGAGACCUGUCUAACUUUACAAAGAGCUCCUUACAAUUCCAUCGACAUGUCUCAAGAUUUACGGCAGAAAAUUGAUGACGAAAUAAAAGCACACACGGUUCUUGUUUAUUCGAAAACCUAUUGUCCGUAUUGUGUAAUGGCGAAAAAGGCACUAGACAGCCAAGGGAUUGAAUACGAAGCGAUUGAGCUCGAUAAGUUAAGCAGUAGCGAUAUGGAAUCGAGGCAAGACAUCCUUAAGCAACUCACGGGAGCAAGAUCUGUCCCAAGAGUUUUCAUCAAAGGGGAGUGCAUAGGAGGAGGAACUGAAACGGCUGCUGCGGUUAAGAAUGGUACUUUGAAAACAAAGCUAAACGCUGCCGCAUGAAUCCAUUGCCAAAGUAUUCCAGACAAGCAUCUCUCUAAUAUUGAAGAAUUGUAUGGAGGACAACUUUUGUUGUCACAAAGAAAAAUUUCAUGCAAAUCUUUCAGGAACUUUUUUGAUGAAAAAAUAUACAUUUACAUGGAAUAGCCUAUAGCUAUUAUGCUUUAGGAAGUGCUCUUCAUCUGAUUUUUUUUAAUAUGCUGUAGUCAGAAACUUGUAUUGUAUAUUUAAAUCCCUGUCCUAGUAUUUCUUGGAUAAUCUUCUAUAGGAAAAAAAUUAUAACACAUGUACUCAAAUAUUGUAAAUAUAUGGACAAUGCACAAUCAGUCAUUUUUUUCGUGACACAACUCUUAUUGUUAAAUUGAAAAUCUGUCUUUUUUUUUAUAUCUGUUUUGACAUUCCCUGCAAUACAUGCUUCAUGAUAUACUGCAUACACAUACUUGUAUUUGAUCAUGAGAUACUAUUUGCUAUCUAAAACCUCAAAAUAUGUACAACUAGUCAAGUAAUUUAAUGAAGUAUACAUAUGUUUGUUUGUAUACUUUGGAUGGUAGUAAUUGUUAAGUAAAAUUGCUAUAAUGAUAUCUAACUUGUAGUCGGAUUAAGUUGUACUCAGGUUAAAAGUUGUACUCGGUUGAGAUGGAUGGUGCUCAAGGAGAAAGUCUUAUUGUAAACAUUGCUUAUUUUUGUGUUUUCAUUGGUCCCAUCAAUUGGCUGUUUAGUAUAUUUUGGCUAUUAACAUAUAGUUCGCUGUAUGGUCAAUAACAUUAAAAUUAACUGCUAAAGUUUUUUUGAUGAAAAUAUAGAUGAAUUUAUUACACUACAAAGAAGGAAGAUUUGAAUAGACAAGUUAACGUCAUUAUAUCCUUGGCAGAUAACAUGUACUCAAUCAAAAAUGAUUGCUGAAAAUAUUUAAGUAAAAUAUAUCAUUUCUGAUCUAAAUAGAACCUAAAUUUUCUUAAUUUUGCUAAAAUGUUUGUUAUAGAAUUGUUUGAUUUAAUGACAUAUACAAUUUACUUUGAUUCACCUGUGAUUAUAUUCGAUAAACGUAACAAAGGUUUCUCAAAAUAUAAUCCAAAAUUAUAAUUGUACAUUAUGAAAAAUAUCUUAAACUGUGUUCAUUGAAACACAAUAUGUCAUUAUUUUAUGUAUUUAUACAUAACAAGUACAUGUACAUGUAGUAUUUGUUAUGUUGAAUCAUUCUGCAUGUAUUGCAGAAAUAAAACAAGAUCAUUUAAACAGUCAACAAUAUAGCAACAUGCAUUGAUAUGUGUUAUCCAUAUAUAUUAUAAACUUAUUGAAAUUAUUAUUGAUAUAUUAUAUAGUAUUGACUUGUGUUUAUAUAGACUUUUAAGAUUUAACUGCAAUAUAAUAUGUGGCAAGGCUUGUAGGUGUUUUACACUAAUGUGCAAUGUAUAUAUUUGCGGUGUUUCUAUUUCUACAUGAUUGACACUUCCUGUUUCACUUGUUGUACUUGCGGUAUAGGACUUUAACACUCCCUACAUUAUGAUAUUGGUGUUGCCACUAUUGUCAAACCAAAUAAAAAAAAAUAAAAGCAAAGUGACAAUUGCAAAAGAA